rnacentral:rRNA from 1 species
GACGAACGCUGGCGGCGUGCUUAACACAUGCAAGUCGAGCGGAAAGGCCCUUCGGGGUCCUCGAGCGGCGAACGGGUGAGUAACACGUGAGUAACCUGCCCCAGACUUUGGGAUAACCCUCGGAAACGGGGGCUAAUACCGUAUACGACACAGAUUCGCCUGGGGUCUGUGUGGAAAGUUUUUCGGUUUGGGAUGGGCUCGCGGCCUACCCGCUUGUUGGUGGGGUGAUGGCCUACCAAGGCGAGGACGGGUAGCCGGCCUGAGUGGGCCACCGGCCACACUGGGACGGAGACACGGCCCAGACUCCUACGGGAGGCAGCAGUGGGGAAGAUUACACAAUGGGCGGAAGCCUGAUGCAGCGACGCCGCGUGGGGGAAGACGGCCUUCGGGUUGUAAACCUCUUUCAGCAGGGACGAAGCGUAAGUGACGGUACCUGGAGAAGAAGCGCCGGCCAACUACGUG